rnacentral:tRNA from 1 species
GCGGGCCCUGGUCAGGCGGGUCAGCAGCGCGGCGUUGCGGGCGCUGAGUUCGUCCGGUCCGAGGUUGAGGGCCUGCUC